AUAAAGUUUCCGGCACAGAACAAAGUGUUUAAAGUGCAACAGUGCUGAGAAAUUAAAGAUGUGUGUUGGAUCAUAAUUUCAUCGUCCAUGUAUUAAAGAAGCGAUCACUCGAGUCACGAUGGUAUCUACAGUCGAAAAAUGCCAACGUAAAGCUUUCAGUUUGUCAUCCAGGAGUUUUUAUUUAGUAUAUGAGAGAUGACACAGCAACAAAUGCAAGAGCAGGAGAUGAAACGAAGAUGAUGAUGAUGAGACGACAGGAGCCAUGGAUCUUAAAAUCCGUCCGGAGGAGAUGUCUUUAAAUACACCUGUUUGUGCACUGAUAUAAACUUCAUAUGUAAAUAAAGUACCGUGCUAUUA